CCCGCCCGCUUACUGGAUCCCCCGCUCCAGAUUCCUAAGGGGAAUUCCAGGAUUCCAGAAGCUGCCCUGGUCAUUUUUAAACGCUGACCCGCCUCCCUCCGGUGGAGAGGGCGCCACCGCUGGGCGGGGUGCUUCCCCGCCCGACCUGCUCGGCCCCACCCUCUCGGCGCCUUACAUACAGAUGGAAACCACUGGGGUCUCCUUGGGGAGCAGCGUUACCCAGUACCCCAAGUAUCCUCUUGUUCCUUGCGAAGGGUCACAUCCUGCCGUGAGCUCUGAAAGCCAGGAAGUGCCAUGAAUGGAAGCCGCUUUCAAAGUAAGUCACACUGAGAGUGAAUGAGGACCUCCGGGCCGACACGUCCCCGACACUGGCUUGUGUGGCCGUGCCAAUGUCCACACUCUUCCAGAUCAUUUGUCCCAUCAACUUGUGCUAUGUGAGUGCAUUCCUUGGGGGAAAGUAAUUACUGCAUCAGAAGCCGGCGAAAUUAUCCUUGGGGUGUGCUCUGUUCUCCC